rnacentral:sRNA from 1 species
GUGAAAGAUGCCAGCCAGACUGCCUAAAGAGAAUGAAGAAUAUGAAUGGGCAACAGCAGUGAAAGUUUCUCCAACACUGUCCUCUCAAUUUGCCUCAACCCUGAUACCAUCUUGAAGAGUGGGAAGGUUAAUUCAGUCUUUGAACGUACUCAGUUCUUAGCAUCU